rnacentral:lncRNA from 1 species
CAGAUUGGCAAUUGAAUGUGCAUCAACCUUAGUUGGCUUUGAAAUAGCUGCAACAAUCUCCAUCCCAUAGUGCCUCUUUUAAGAAAUUUAUAUUGGCAUUGUUUUGUCAUAUUGCAAAGUGUAAGAACAACUAUCUUUGACCCUAUUAUUUAUUUAUAUUGGGUGAGCCUAAGAGGCAUGUAAAAAUUGAGAAAAAUAUCAUCACAUUUUAUUGGCUUUAGAAGAAUAGAUACCCUGGUAGAAUAGUAUUAAAUCAAUAAAAACAAUCUAAAUGACUUUACAUACCAAUAUAUUUUUAUGAAUUGUAAAUUUUUAACCUUGUCUAAUUUUCCUCAAAUGAUUUUGUAUUUUUAUUUUUUCUAAUUUUACCACUGAAUGAUGGCAUUAAGUUAAUCUACAUUAACAUUUUAAUCCCACAAUUUUUCAAAGAAAAUUAUAUCGUGAAUUUAUUCAUUUACUUAUUUCAGAAUAAAAAAACAACACUUGCAUGCACAUGUACAGAAUAGUAAUUUUUUUGAAAGAGUAUUCUUUCAUAUUAGAAAGUUAAAAUUUAUGAACUUAAUUAUCUUGUGAAUGAUGUUGGAAGUAGUGCUGAAAUGAACUGUGAAUGGUGAAGAAGACAAUUCUAAAAUGUUCACAAUAAACAACUUAUUUUUAAACAU